UACGUAGGUGGCGAGCGUUGUCCGGAUUUACUGGGCGUAAAGAGCGCGCAGGCGGUCGUGCAAGUCGCGUGUGAAAGCCCCCGGCUCAACUGGGGAGGGUCACGCGAUACUGCUCGACUUGAAGGCAGGAGAGGGAAGUGGAAUUCCCGGUGUAGUGGUGAAAUGCGUAGAGUAUCGGGAGGAACACCAGUGGCGAAGGCGACUUCCUGGCCUGUUCUUGACGCUGAGGCGCGAAAGCUAGGGUAGCAAACGGG
rnacentral:rRNA from 1 species